UCACUCUUUUCUCCUCCAUUCUUGCAGUGAAGGUAAGUUCAUGUAUAGACUAAUAUCCAAGCAUCCUUAUAUACGUAUAUAUGCAUAUGCCCAUGUAUUUACACAGCCAAAUUGAGUGGUUCUCCACUCAAAUUUGGUUAGAUCUUGAUUGGACGAUUGAGUGGUUCUGCACUCAGAUUUGAUUGGAUCUUGAUUGGACGAUGGAGGUCACAGAUUGAUGAUCAAUCCAGCCAGUUGGAUAUAAUCUGCUAUUUUUAAAUUAUUUAUACAUUAAAAAUUUUGUGAUUCGGAGACCAGCAGUAAUAAAGAGUAUAUAUUGUUUUAUGCUAUCUAAACUAUCAAAUUUUUUGAUGAUUUUGCUUUAAAAGGGCAUUGAGAAAUGCUUAUAUUUCAUUUGUUCGAGGAAGGGUGAUCGUUUCUUUUUUGCCCCGGCAGGACAUGCAGUUGAGAACGGCUUUUUUGCUCGUAAGAAGAUGAGAGGUGGCAAGUGUGACCGAUCAGGCAAAAACUGCAGGUAUGUGGCCUUGCCUUAUUCAGUAUAUUUACUUUGUAAACUUUUAAUGUGGUGUAUUGUUUAAUCUUGGGAACAUACAUGAAAGAAUAAAAGCAAUCUUGCCGACAAUUUUCUAACUAAAUGCCGACAUUUGAACUGCCAUGCUUUGAUUCUUAUGCAAAUUUACCAAUUUCAUGUACUGAUUUAGCAUGCCUUGAGUCCUGUAACCCUUCAAAGUGAGUGAUUGAUGUGCCAAUUGUCUUGAUUCAGAUUAGCUGAAGGAUGACUAUGGUUUCAUGCUUCAUGAAGACUUCUUUUGGUCAGUGGCUGAAUAAUUUUAUAAACUUUUAAGUGGUUGCAGAGGAAUGAACAUCUCCUUAUGAUCCCUACUUUACGACAGAACGAACUCUCUAAUUGGAGAUUUUCUUGCAAAGUGGUGGAAAAUUGGAUGAUAUCUGGAAUGGUUCAUGGACCAUUCCAGAGAAUUGUCCAGUCCAUGGACUGUAAUAUACUUUCUUUGGAAAUUGUGGCAAUCCCUGAAGGUUUGAAUAAGAAUAUUGAGAAGCCACAGGAAGGUCUCAAUCUUCUCUGAUUUUGGAAUGGGUCUUCAUAUUCUUAAUGGUUCAUAUUGUUGGCCGAUAAAUCAUGAUAGCUUGCCACAAGACUGCCCAUUAUUUUGCUGCUAUUGGUGGACUGGGCGAUGACACAACUUCAUCAAGAAUAAUAGUGCAGAGAUCUAGCCACCAGCUUUGUCGAUUGUUCUAGUACAACGGUGGAAUGUUAAUCCUAGAGGCACCAUGGAUUACUGUUUAUGGGGACAUGCAUCGAACUCGGCGAUACGUGAGAUCAUAUUAUAUAUCCUCGUCGCUUUACUAGAAAAAGAAGAAAGAUCACUCGCUCUUCUUUCUAAGACUUUCGGCAAUCUCUAAGUCCAUAUUUGAUUUAUCACAAGUUGAAGCAUCAAAAAAUAAGCUGACAAAGUUCAUUUUCCAGUACUCUGGAUAAAUAUAAUCAUAUUAUUUAUGCACGCAAAGAAAUUCUUGAAUUAUCCGUUCGGCUACAAUCGAAAUUUUAUAGUCCAUAACUGGAUGUUUUUUCGUUGUUAGUAUGAGGUUAUGAUUAUUGCAGAUCCGUGAUCCAUUGCUUGGCAUCUCUCUCAGGUGAUUUCGACUAUGGCGACCUAUCAUCGGCCUCAUGUUCUUUUACAAAACAGAUGUUGCUGGAGCUAAUUGACUCGUAUCUGUAAUUUUUUUAUAACAGAGAUCAGCUAUAAGAAUUGCAGGGAUAGGGAGGCUUUCCAAUGUGAAAUCCACUUUGUUGAAUCAGG
rnacentral:lncRNA from 1 species